GCUUCUCAGAAGGAGCAAUCAGGUGGACCCCAUCUCUGCUUAGCAGUCCUUCUUCCUGGAACAGCAUCCCGUGGUCAAGGAAGCUGAAGCCCUCCUAGCAGCACCAUCCUCUCAGCCAGGCAUUUGCCUCCAGGAUGCCUCUGUCUCUGCCUGGGCCCCUACC